rnacentral:lncRNA from 1 species
UUCACUUUCAUUUAUUGUCCCUUACUGAGAAUAAACUAUUCUGUGUCCCUCCUCCCCGGUUUUAAAGACAUGGUUAUAAAUUUAUAAUUCUUUCUAGAACAGAAGACACUAUUUGCAGCAAUGGAUCGAUUUUAGUUUUCUUCCCCAAUUCAUUCUUGACUAUUAUUUUUGUAAAAUAAAAGAAUGAAUCACUGGGUACAAAAUAUUAAAAGGGCAUAAAAAGCACAAAAUCAAGCAAGCAGAGACAAAGGGAUACAAAGUGUGCCCAUAAUUUUUAUAUGGGAGUGAGCAUGAGGUCACUUCCGAACUGCUAUGCAAUGUCCUGAGAGCUCAGCCUCAAAGUCUUUUCCUCUCCAGCAGAAGAAAAACAAAGCUACAGAGAUCAGUCCUGUCCAUGGAUCACAACAGACGAUGACUCUCUCAAGAGGUUAAUUUGAGCAAAUUUAGCGAAUUGCUACCCAACUAUCCCUGACAAAGAGAACUACAGGGGACUUCAAAAAGGUCAUGAGAAGUGGAAUUAAAAGGUAAAAAAAAAAAAAAAAAAAGCUUAUUUUUGUCCACCAAAUUCUUAAAUCCAAGUAAAGUUGUUUUUUUAUUUUUUCAUAAUAAGCCUUUCAAUGAGCU